CCUACGGGUGGCUGCAGUGAGGAAUAUUGGUCAAUGGGCGGGAGCCUGAACCAGCCAAGUCGCGUGAGGGAAGAAGGUACUGAGUAUUGUAAACCUCUUUUGCCAGGGGACAAAGGCGGCCACGGGUGGCCGUAAGAGGGUACCUGGCCAAGAAGCACCGGCUAACUACGUGCCAGCAGCCGCGGUAAUACGUAGGGGGCAAGCGUUAUCCGGAUUUACUGGGUGUAAAGGGGGCGCAGACGGCAAUGCAAGCCAGGUGUGAAAGCCCGGGGCGCAACCCCGGUACUGCUCUUGGAACUGCAUGGCUGGAGUACAGGAGAGGCAGGCGGAAUUCGUAGUGUAGCGGUGAAAUGCGUAGAUAGUAGGAGGAACUCCGGUGGCGAAGGCGGCCUGCUGGACUGUGACUGACGUUGAGGCCCGAAGGCGUGGGGAGCAAACAGGAUUAGAUACCCUAGUAGUC
rnacentral:rRNA from 1 species